AACAAAACUUAUCCAACACGAUGCACAUAAAUCUAAAAUAUAAUAACUGUUGUGAUCGUUGUCAGUGAGCCAAAUGGGAAGGUAGGGCGAGGGAAGGAGGGCAUGGUGGGAGGCAGCCAUGGGAGGGGCCAGUAUAUAUAGCGGCAGCGUUCUCUCCACCUCUCCAGCCGCCGUCCUCACCACACCAUGAACACUCGGGUGACUGCACUCCUGCUGGCGGGAUGCUGGGCCUGUUGUCUUUUGGAUUGCUCAGCACUGCGGCUCCCUGGUCCUCCCCGCAGCCCAGUACAAGCUUCAUAUAGCUUCUCUAUAUCUCACACCGGCAACACUCACACCGCUGCCGCAGCAACUUGGCCCAGCAGGAGAAGAUUCACGGCACCACGCUGGAACCCUGUGGCCGGCGAGCGGCGCACGCCUGCCACCACCUCACCCAGCCCCCAGACCACUGCUGCCCCUGAAACUCCUGUGCCUGGAACACCGGAGCACAAUGUCCAGCCUAUCGAUAAUUCACAUGUUGACUUUUCCACUCUCGAGGUUCCUGUUCCAGAUGUUAUUGCCGAUGAUCCUGCUCCAGUUAUCAUUCCCGAGGUCCCGCAUUCCGACGCAUCUGCUCCCGAUAUAUCAGUUCCUGACGUAUUAAUCCCUAAUGAACAAAAGCCUGAGGUCCCUAUCACCAAGGCUCCAGCAUAUGAAUUCCCUUACUAUGAAUUCUAUGAAGAACAAGACUAUAUAUACGAGCCACAGAAUGCCGCUCCUUCCGCCCGUGCCCCUCACAGUGACAACGAGAAGUCUACACAAGAUGAAAACUUGGUCGAGCCAGCUGAGACCCCCUCACCAGAAAGCGUCUCGCCCGAACUCCCCAGACAAGCAGAAUAUUCCUUUAAAACUGUUUAUGGUAGGCGAUGAAGAGGGUGAGUGUGGUUACGUCUUGGGUUGAACGGACUUGGAUGCUGGAGUGACGGGUGCAGUUCAGUGUUCGUACAAUGGCACGUGACGGGUUCCACAAGGCCUUCCGGCUUUAGUUCAGUCUCCUUAGGUUGAUGAUAAUAUACUCAGUCUUUCAUGACCAGACAUUUUAUCUCAGGUGUUACAUUUUGUAUGAUUGUGUAAUUUUAUUAUUUUAUGAAUUAAAACUG